rnacentral:rRNA from 1 species
UGCGUAGGCGGUUUGGUAAGUCUUGUGUGAAAUCUCCAGGCUCAACUUGGAGUCUGCACGAGAAACUGCCGGGCUUGAGUGUGGGAGAGGUGAGUGGAAUUCCUGGUGUAGCGGUGAAAUGCGUAGAUAUCAGGAGGAACACCUGUGGCGAAAGCGGCUCACUGGACCACAACUGACGCUGAUGCACGAAAGCUAGGGGAGCAAACAGGAUUAGAUACCCUGGUAGUCCUAGCCCUAAACGAUGACUGCUUGGUGUGACGGGUACCCAAUCCCGCCGUGCCGUAGCUAACGCGUUAAGCAGUCCGCCUGGGGAGUACGGUCGCAAGGCUGAA